rnacentral:rRNA from 1 species
GGUGAGGUAACGGCUCACCAAGGCAACGAUGCAUAGCCGACCUGAGAGGGUGAACGGCCACACUGGGACUGAGACACGGCCCAGACUCCUACGGGAGGCAGCAGUAGGGAAUCUUCCGCAAUGGACGAAAGUCUGACGGAGCAACGCCGCGUGAACGAUGAAGGUUUUCGGAUCGUAAAGUUCUGUUGUUAGGGAAGAACAAACUUCGUUUGAAUAAGGCGGAGUCAUGACGGUACCUAACGAGAAAGCCACGGCUAACUAC